UACGAAGGGGGCUAGCGUUGUUCGGAAUUACUGGGCGUAAAGCGCACGUAGGCGGAUCAGUCAGUUAGGGGUGAAAUCCCGGGGCUCAACCCCGGAACUGCCUUUAAUACUGCUGAUCUAGAGUUCGAGAGAGGUGAGUGGAAUUCCGAGUGUAGAGGUGAAAUUCGUAGAUAUUCGGAGGAACACCAGUGGCGAAGGCGGCUCACUGGCUCGAUACUGACGCUGAGGUGCGAAAGCGUGGGGAGCAAAC
rnacentral:rRNA from 1 species